GACGAACGCUGGCGGCGUGCUUAACACAUGCAAGUCGAACGUGAUUUUUGUGGAAAGCCCUUCGGGGACGGAAAUGAAAUGAAAGUGGCGAACGGGUGAGUAACACGUGAGCAACCUACCUUACACAGGGGGAUAGCCGUUGGAAACGACGAUUAAUACCGCAUGAGACCACAAAGCCACAUGGCUUAGGGGUAAAAGAUUUAUCGGUGUAAGAUGGGCUCGCGUCUGAUUAGCUAGUUGGAAGGGUAAAGGCCUACCAAGGCAACGAUCAGUAGCCGGUCUGAGAGGAUGAACGGCCACAUUGGAACUGAGCCACGGUCCAAACUCCUACGGGAGGCAGCAGUGGGGAAUAUUGCACAAUGGGGGGAACCCUGAUGCAGCGACGCCGCGUGAGCGAAGAAGGUUUUCGAAUCGUAAAGCUCUGUCCUAUGAGAAGAUAAUGACGGUAUCAUAGGAGGAAGCCCCGGCUAAAUACGUGCCAGCAGCCGCGGUAAUACGUAUGGGGCGAGCGUUGUCCGGAAUUAUUGGGCGUAAAGGGUACGUAGGCGGCCUUUUAAGUCAGGUGUGAAAGCGUGAGGCUUAACCUCAUUAAGCACUUGAAACUGGAAGGCUUGAGUGAAGGAGAGGAAAGUGGAAUUCCUAGUGUAGCGGUGAAAUGCGUAGAUAUUAGGAGGAAUACCGGUGGCGAAGCGAUUUUCUGGACUUUUACUGACGCUCAGGGACGAAAAGCGUGGGGAGCAAACAGG
rnacentral:rRNA from 1 species